GUUCAACUCAUUCACUCUAAUAGUAGAAGUCAUCAGGACGGUAGCACUUCAGCGAACAACAGCUACUGCUGCAGCAGCUUUAGAUACUCGCCUGGAAUCGGUAUUUCAGACCUAUGUCAUGGGUCCCACCUGCUUACCGGCAUGCUUCUUGCAACACGGACUUCGGGUUUUGGAGGGCGUCCCGCGCCUAGCCCUUAGCUCGGGACGGGAUGAAGUGUUCAAGGUUCUCCCCAGUCAUUAUUAUUAUAACACAUCAAAAUCGUCUCGUAAAACCGCUAUGCGCUCUCAAGAUUUCAAUAACACUUCUGAAGUAGAAUUGUUAGAGAUUCAACUCCCCUGCCUUUACUUCCAUCCUACCACUGAGCUCAAUCUCGGGGCUCACGA
rnacentral:lncRNA from 1 species